rnacentral:rRNA from 1 species
UGCGCAGGUGGUUUUGUAAGUCAGAUGUGAAAGCCCCGGGCUCAACCUGGGAACUGCGUUUGAAACUACAAGACUAGAGUGUGGCAGAGGGGGGUGGAAUUCCGCGUGUAGCAGUGAGAUGCGUAGAGAUGUGGAGGAACACCGAUGGCGAAGGCAGCCCCCUGGGUUAACACUGACGCUCAGGCACGAAAGCAUGGGGAGCAAACAGGAUUGGAUACCCUGGUAGUC